rnacentral:rRNA from 1 species
AGAGUUUGAUCCUGGCUCAGGAUGAACGCUAGCUACAGGCUUAACACAUGCAAGUCGAGGGGCAGCAUGAACUUAGCUUGCUAAGUUUGAUGGCGACCGGCGCACGGGUGAGUAACACGUAUCCAACCUGCCGAUGACUCGGGGAUAGCCUUUCGAAAGAAAGAUUAAUACCCGAUGGCAUAGUUCUUCCGCAUGGUCGAACUAUUAAAGAAUUUCGGUCAUCGAUGGGGAUGCGUUCCAUUAGGUUGUUGGCGGGGUAACGGCCCACCAAGCCUUCGAUGGAUAGGGGUUCUGAGAGGAAGGUCCCCCACAUUGGAACUGAGACACGGUCCAAACUCCUACGGGAGGCAGCAGUGAGGAAUAUUGGUCAAUGGACGAGAGUCUGAACCAGCCAAGUAGCGUGAAGGAUGACUGCCCUAUGGGUUGUAAACUUCUUUUAUACGGGAAUAAAGUGAGGCACGUGUGCCUUUUUGUAUGUACCGUAUGAAUAAGGAUCGGCUAACUCCGUGCCAGCAGCCGCGGUAAUACGGAGGAUCCGAGCGUUAUCCGGAUUUAUUGGGUUUAAAGGGAGCGUAGGCGGACGCUUAAGUCAGUUGUGAAAGUUUGCGGCUCAACCGUAAAAUUGCAGUUGAUACUGGGUGUCUUGAGUACAGUAGAGGCAGGCGGAAUUCGUGGUGUAGCGGUGAAAUGCUUAGAUAUCACGAAGAACUCCGAUUGCGAAGGCAGCUUGCUGGACUGUAACUGACGCUGAUGCUCGAAAGUGUGGGUAUCAAACAGGAUUAGAUACCCUGGUAGUCCACACAGUAAACGAUGAAUACUCGCUGUUUGCGAUAUACAGUAAGCGGCCAAGCGAAAGCGUUAAGUAUUCCACCU